GCCAGACUCCUACGGGAGGCAGCAGUGAGGAAUAUUGGUCAAUGGGCGGGAGCCUGAACCAGCCAAGUCGCGUGAGGGAAGACGGUCCUAUGGAUUGUAAACCUCUUUAGGCGGGGAGCAAUGCCGGGCACGUGUGCCCGGAGGGAGAGUACCCGCAGAAUAAGCAUCGGCUAACUACGUGCCAGCAGCCGCGGUAAUACGUAGGUGGCAAGCGUUGUCCGGAUUUACUGGGUGUAAAGGGCGUGUAGCCGGGUUGACAAGUCAGAUGUGAAAUCCUGCGGCUUAACCGCAGAACUGCAUUUGAAACUGUUGAUCUUGAGUACUGGAGAGGCAGACGGAAUUCCUAGUGUAGCGGUGAAAUGCGUAGAUAUUAGGAGGAACACCAGUGGCGAAGGCGGUCUGCUGGACAGCAACUGACGGUGAGGCGCGAAAGCGUGGGGAGCAAACAGGAUUAGAUACCCCAGUA
rnacentral:rRNA from 1 species